rnacentral:rRNA from 1 species
AGUCUCGUGAGACUUUUUGCAUGUACCUUAUGAAUAAGGACCGGCUAAUUCCGUGCCAGCAGCCGCGGUAAUACGGAAGGUCCGGGCGUUAUCCGGAUUUAUUGGGUUUAAAGGGAGCGUAGGCCGGAGAUUAAGCGUGUUGUGAAAUGUAGAUGCUCAACAUCUGAACUGCAGCGCGAACUGGUUUCCUUGAGUACGCACAAAGUGGGCGGAAUUCGUGGUGUAGCGGUGAAAUGCUUAGAUAUCACGAAGAACUCCGAUUGCGAAGGCAGCUCACUGGAGCGCAACUGACGCUGAAGCUCGAAAGUGCGGGUAUCGAACAGGAUUAGAUACCCUGGUAGUCCGCACGGUAAACGAUGGAUGCCCGCUGUUGGUCUGAAUAGGUCAGCGGCCAAGCGAAAGCAUUAAGCAUCCCACCUGGGGAGUACGCCGGCAACGGUGAAACUCAAAGGAAUUGACGGGGGCCCGCACAAGCGGAGGAACAUGUGGUUUAAUUCGAUGAUACGCGAGGAACCUUACCCGGGCUUGAAUUGCAGAGGAAGGAUUUGGAGACAAUGACGCCCUUCGGGGCCUCUGUGAAGGUGCUGCAUGGUUGUCGUCAGCUCGUGCCGUGAGGUGUCGGCUUAAGUGCCAUAACGAGCGCAACCCCUCUCCUUAGUUGCCAUCAGGUUAAGCUGGGCACUCUGGGGACACUGCCACCGUAAGGUGUGAGGAAGGUGGGGAUGACGUCAAAUCAGCACGGCCCUUACGUCCGGGGCUACACACGUGUUACAAUGGCAGGUACAGAGAGACGGUCCCUUGCAAAACGGAUCAAAUCCUUAAAGCCUGUCUCAGUUCGGACUGGGGUCUGCAACCCGACCCCACGAAGCUGGAUUCGCUAGUAAUCGCGCAUCAGCCAUGGCGCGGUGAAUACGUUCCCGGGCCUUGUACACACCGCCCGUCAAGCCAUGAAAGCCGGGGGCGCCUAAAGUCCGUGACCGUAAGGAGCGGCCUAGGGCGAAACUGGUAAUUGGGGCUAAGUCGUAACAAGGUAGCCGUACCGGAAGGUGCGGCUGGAACACCUCCUUUCU